rnacentral:rRNA from 1 species
UACGUAGGGACCGAGCGUUGUCCGGAAUCAUUGGGCGUAAAGAGCGUGUAGGCGGCCUUUUAAGUCCUGCGUGAAAUCCUGCGGCUCAACCGCAGACGGUCGUGGGAAACUGGAAGGCUAGAGUGCGGGAGAGGAGAGUGGAAUUCCCGGUGUAGCGGUGAAAUGCGCAGAUAUCAGGAAGAACACCCGUGGCGAAGGCGGCUCUCGUGGGACGGUACUGACGCUGAGACGCGAAAGCGUGGGGAGCGAACAGG